rnacentral:rRNA from 1 species
GUGGGGAAUUUUGGACAAUGGGCGCAAGCCUGAUCCAGCAAUGCCGCGUGCAGGAAGAAGGCCUUCGGGUUGUAAACUGCUUUUGUACGGAACGAAACGGUCCUGGUUAAUACCCGGGGCUAAUGACGGUACCGUAAGAAUAAGCACCGGCUAACUACGUGCCAGCAGCCGCGGUAAUACGUAGGGUGCAAGCGUUAAUCGGAAUUACUUGGCGUAAAGCGUGCGCAGGCGGUUUUGUAAGACAGGCGUGAAAUCCCCGGGCUCAACCUGGGAAUGGCGCUUGUGACUGCAAAGCUGGAGUGCGGCAGAGGGGGAUGGAAUUCCGCGUGUAGCAGUGAAAUGCGUAGAUAUGCGGAGGAACACCGAUGGCGAAGGCAAUCCCCUGGGCCUGCACUGACGCUCAUGCACGAAAGCGUGGGGAGCAAACAGGAUUAGAAACCCUAGUAGUCC